rnacentral:rRNA from 1 species
GCGGCGGACGGGUGAGUAACGCGUGGGUAAUCUGCCUCAAACAGGGGGAUAACACAGGGAAACUUGUGCUAAUACCGCAUAAGACCCCACCAUGGCAUCAUGGAGAGGUCAAAGGAAGAAAUUCCGGUUUGAGAUGAGCCCGCGUCUGAUUAGCUAGUUGGUGAGGUAACGGCUCACCAAGGCGACGAUCAGUAGCCGAACUGAGAGGUUGAUCGGCCACAUUGGGACUGAGACACGGCCCAGACUCCUACGGGAGGCAGCAGUGGGGAAUAUUGCACAAUGGGGGAAACCCUGAUGCAGCGACGCCGCGUGAAGGAAGAAGGCCCUCGGGUUGUAAACUUCUUUGACCAGGGACGAAGAAAGUGACGGUACCUGGAGAACAAGCCACGGCUAACUACGUGCCAGCAGCCGCGGUAAUACGUAGGUGGCGAGCGUUGUCCGGAAUUACUGGGUGUAAAGGGCGUGUAGGCGGGUUCUUAAGUCAGAUGUGAAAUCCCGGG